rnacentral:rRNA from 1 species
GACAGAGGGUGCAAACGUUGUUCGGAAUUACUGGGCGUAAAGCGCGUGUAGGCUGCUCCGCAAGUCGGAUGUGAAAGCCCUUGGCUUAACCGAGGAAGUGCAUCCGAAACUGGCGAGCUAGAGUACUAAAGAGGAUCGCGGAAUUCCCGGUGUAGCGGUGAAAUGCGUAGAGAUCGGGAGGAACACCAGUGGCGAAGGCGGACUACCUGGACCAGCACUGACAC